rnacentral:rRNA from 1 species
CUCGUAGGCGGUCUGUCGCGUCGGGAGCGAAAACCUGGGGCUUAACCCCGGGCCUGCUUCCGAUACGGGCAGACUAGAGUUCGGCAGGGGAGACUGGAAUUCCUGGUGUAGCGGUGAAAUGCGCAGAUAUCAGGAGGAACACCGGUGGCGAAGGCGGGUCUCUGGGCCGAUACUGACGCUGAGGAGCGAAAGCGUGGGGAGCGAACA